rnacentral:rRNA from 1 species
GCACAAGCAGUGGAGUAUGUGGUUUAAUUCGAAGCAACGCGAAGAACCUUACCAGGUCUUGACAUCCGACUAACGGAGCAGAAAUGCACUGGUGCCCGCAAGGGAAAGUCGAGACAGGUGGUGCAUGGUUGUCGUCAGCUCGUGUCGUGAGAUGUUGGGUUAAGUCCCGCAACGAGCGCAACCCUUGUCAUUAGUUGCUACGGGAAGAGCACUCUAAUGAGACUGCCGUUGACAAAACGGAGGAAG